rnacentral:rRNA from 1 species
AUUGAACGCUGGCGGCAUGCCUUACACAUGCAAGUCGAACGGUAACGGGCCUUCGGGUGCCGACGAGUGGCGAACGGGUGAGUAAUGUAUCGGAACGUACCUUUCAGUGGGGGAUAACGUAGCGAAAGUUACGCUAAUACCGCAUACUCUGUGAGCAGGAAAGCAGGGGAUCGCAAGACCUUGCGCUGAUUGAGCGGCCGAUAUCAGAUUAGCUAGUUGGUGAGGUAAAGGCUCACCAAGGCGACGAUCUGUAGCGGGUCUGAGAGGAUGAUCAUCCCCACUGGAACGGGUACACGGUCCCGACUCCUACGGGAGGCAGCAGUGGGGAAUUUUGGACAAUGGGGGCAACCCUGAUCCAGCCAUGCCGCGUGAGUGAAGAAGGCCUUCGGGUUGUAAAGCUCUUUCGGCCGGGAAGAAAUCGUAUCAGCUAAUACCUGGUGCGGAUGACGGUACCGGCAUAAGAAGCACCGGCUAACUACGUGCCAGCAGCCGCCGUAACAC